rnacentral:sRNA from 1 species
CAAGGCCGGAUGCUGCUUGUGGAAGGAUAACUCACGGAAUGAGGGGUCAGGAGCGCCAGGAGGCGAAGACCGGAGACUAACGUCAGAAGACGUUGAACAAGGAAAAGGAACCGUAACAGGGAACGUUCUACGCUAAGGGAUAAACAGGGCAAGUUGAUAGCGAACACGGAAUGUAAAACCCAUUACGGGUUAAGGGUCAAGAAAAAAGGCGACAGUUUGCACUGUCGCCUUUUUUCUUUGCUUGCUU